rnacentral:rRNA from 1 species
UACGUAGGGACCAAGCGUUGUUCGGAUUUACUGGGCGUAAAGGGCGCGUAGGCGGCGUGACAAGUCACUUGUGAAAUCUCUGAGCUUAACUCGGAACGGUCAAGUGAUACUGUUGUGCUAGAGUACAGAAAGGGCAAUCGGAAUUCUUGGUGUAGCGGUGAAAUGCGUAGAUAUCAAGAGGAACACCUGAGGCGAAGGCGGGUUGCUAGGCUGAUACUGACGCUGAGGCGCGAAAGCUAGGGUAGCAAACGGG